UACGUAGGGUGCGAGCGUUAAUCGGAAUUACUGGGCGUAAAGCGUGCGCAGGCGGCGCGUUAAGACAGGUGUGAAAGCCCCGAGCUUAACUUGGGAAUUGCGCUUGUGACUGGCGUGCUGGAGUGUGGCAGAGGGAGGUGGAAUUCCACGUGUAGCAGUGAAAUGCGUAGAGAUGUGGAGGAACACCGAUGGCGAGGGCAGCCUCCUGGGCCAACACUGACGCUCAUGCACGAAAGCGUGGGGAGCAAACAGG
rnacentral:rRNA from 1 species